AGAGUUUGAUCAUGGCUCAGGAUGAANNNUAGCGGCAGGCUUAAUACAUGCAAGUCGUGGGGCAGCAUGGGGUAGCAAUACUCUGAUGGCGACCGGCAAACGGGUGCGGAACACGUACGCAACCUUCCUUUAACUGGAGAAUAGCCCCUCGAAAGAGGGAUUAAUACUCCGUAACAUGAUGAUAAGGCAUCUUAUUAUUAUUAUAGCUCCGGCGGUUAGAGAUGGGCGUGCGCCUGAUUAGGUAGUUGGCGGGGUAACGGCCCACCAAGCCUGCGAUCAGUAACUGGUGUGAGAGCACGACCAGUCACACGGGCACUGAGACACGGGCCCGACUCCUACGGGAGGCAGCAGUAAGGAAUAUUGGUCAAUGGACGCAAGUCUGAACCAGCCAUGCCGCGUGGAGGAUUAAGGCCCUCUGGGUUGUAAACUCCUUUUAUCUGGGAAGAAAUCCACAUAUUCUUAUGUGGUUGACGGUACCAGAGGAAUAAGCACCGGCUAACUCCGUGCCAGCAGCCGCGGUAAUACGGAGGGUGCAAGCGUUAUCCGGAUUCACUGGGUUUAAAGGGUGCGUAGGCGGGUAAGUAAGUCCGUGGUGAAAUCUCUGAGCUUAACUCAGAAACUGCCGUGGAUACUAUUUGCCUUGAAUAUUGUGGAGGUGAGCGGAAUAUGUCAUGUAGCGGUGAAAUGCUUAGAUAUGACAUAGAACACCAAUUGCGAAGGCAGCUCACUACACAAUCAUUGACGCUGAGGCACGAAAGCGUGGGGAUCAAACAGGAUUAGAUACCCUAGUAGUCC
rnacentral:rRNA from 1 species